rnacentral:rRNA from 1 species
GAUGAACGCUGGCGGCGUGCCUAAUACAUGCAAGUCGAGCGAACGGACGAGAAGCUUGCUUCUCUGAUGUUAGCGGCGGACGGGUGAGUAACACGUGGAUAACCUACCUAUAAGACUGGGAUAACUUCGGGAAACCGGAGCUAAUACCGGAUAAUAUUUUGAACCGCAUGGUUCAAAAGUGAAAGACGGUCUUGCUGUCACUUAUAGAUGGAUCCGCGCUGCAUUAGCUAGUUGGUAAGGUAACGGCUUACCAAGGCAACGAUGCAUAGCCGACCUGAGAGGGUGAUCGGCCACACUGGAACUGAGACACGGUCCAGACUCCUACGGGAGGCAGCGGUAGGGAAUCUUCCGCAAUGGGCGAAAGCCUGACGGAGCAACGCCGCGUGUGUGAUGAAGGUCUUCGGAUCGUAAAACUCUGUUAUUAGGGAAGAACACAUGUGUAAGUAACUGUGCACAUCUUGACGGUACCUAAUCAGAAAGCCACGGCUAACUACGUG